AAAUAUUGGGACAUGUAAAAAAAGACAACUCUGUUCCGCAGAGUAGCUGUUGACAUUAUAGUUGUGCAGGAACUUUGUUGACUCUAGAGAACCUCCGGCAAAUCGCACAUCCCCGUGGCGGUGACUUUGCAUGCGGAUGUCAUCCAUAUCAACUUUCGAUGCCAGUUUCUGUGCCUACCAUGGUGACCACGGGUAACGGGAAUCAGGGUUGCAUUCCUUACAGGGACCCUGACAAACGGCUUUCACAUGCAAGGAAGGCAGCAGGCGAGCAAAUGACCCACUCCCGACGCGAGAAGGUAGUGAU